rnacentral:rRNA from 1 species
GAUGAACGCUAGCGGCAGGCAUAAUACAUGCAAGUUGAACGGGAUUCAGAUAGCAAUAUUUGAUGAGAGUGGCGCACGGGUGCGUAACACGUAUGCAACUUACCUUAAACUGGGAGAUAGCCCGUGGAAACAUGGAUUAAUAUCCCAUAGUAUAAAGAACAGGCAUUUGUUUUUAUUAAAGCUCCGGCGGUUUAAGAUGGGCAUGCGCGUCAUUAGCUAGAUGGAGAGGUAACGGCUCACCAUGGCAACGAUGACUAGGGGGUCUGAGAGGAUGUCCCCCCACACUGGUACUGAGACACGGACCAGACUCCUACGGGAGGCAGCAGUAGGGAAUAUUGGGCAAUGGACGCAAGUCUGACCCAGCCAUGCCGCGUGCAGGAAGACGGCCCUCUGGGUUGUAAACUGCUUUUAUCAGGGAAGAAACCCUUCUACGUGUGGGAGGCUGACGGUACCUGAGGAAUAAGGAUCGGCUAACUCCGUGCCAGC